AUGAAUGUUUUAAGCUGGAACUGUCGGGGAGGGGGGAAUCCCCGGACAGUUCGUGAGUUGGCGACAAUCACACAGUCGCAUUCCCCCAAUAUGGUGUUUUUGUGUGAGACGAGGCAAAAGGCUGAUAAGAUGAGGAGGAUCAAGGGUCGGCUAGGGUUGAAAGGUUUUACGGGAGUCGAUAGCAGUGGGAUGAGUGGUGGGCUGGCUUUGUUUUGGCAUGCGGCUUAUGAGGUGGAAAUACUGGAUAAAGAUGGACGUUAUAUUGAUGCCCUUGUGCGUGUUGUGGAGGGGGCAACUCAAUGGAGGAUUACGUGCGUAUAUGGAAUGCCCAUAGUUGAGAACCGGCAUUUUAUGUGGGAGAAGUUGCAGAGGUUGAAGAACACAUGUGAUGCUCCUUGGCUAGCGGUGGGCGAUUUCAAUGAGGCAAUGUGGAGCUAUGAACAUUUGUCAUCUACGCCAAGGGCUGAACCACAGAUGUUGGCCUUCCGGGAUACUUUGGAGAUGUGCGGUCUUGUAGAUUUGGGGUUUGUGGGUAUACCUUUCACAUAUGAUAACAAGAGGGGGGGGGAGCUGGCAAUGUCCAAGUUCGUUUGGACCGAGCUGUGGCAACGAACGAUUGGAGAAACUUGUUUGCCUUCACUUCGGUACUCCACGUGUCGUCGCCUUGUUCUGAUCAUGUAG
rnacentral:rRNA from 1 species